rnacentral:lncRNA from 1 species
UAAAACAACCAUUCAAAUACUUUAUUAAUAAGUAAGGAUUCGAUACAACUUAUGAGUUUGCAUAUAAGCUAUUACAAGUUGUAUAAUCGAUCUAACUACCCAACAUCCAUCACCACUCAUCUUCCCGGCCUUGAGUCCUCGCGCCUAAGCCCUUUAAUCCCCUCGAUCACCUUCUUUCCCUGAAACCACAUAGGAAAUUAGUAACA